UACGUAGGCAGCGAGCGUUGUUCGGAGUUACUGGGCGUAAAGCGUGCGUAGGCGGUUGUCUAAGUCUGGUGUGAAAUCUCCCGGCUCAACUGGGAGGGUGCGCCGGAAACUGGAUGGCUGGAGUGCCGGAGAGGUAAGCGGAAUUCCUGGUGUAGCGGUGAAAUGCGUAGAGAUCAGGAGGAACACCUGUGGUGUAGACAGCUUACUGGACGGUGACUGACGCUGAGGCACGAAAGCGUGGGUAGCAAACAGG
rnacentral:rRNA from 1 species